rnacentral:rRNA from 1 species
UACGUAGGGGGCGAGCGUUGUCCGGAUUCAUUGGGCGUAAAGAGCUCGUAGGCGGCUUGGUAAGUCGGGUGUGAAACCUCCAGGCUCAACCUGGAGACGCCACUCGAUACUGCCAUGGCUAGAGUCCGGUAGGGGCCCACGGAAUUCCUGGUGUAGCGGUGAAAUGCGCAGAUAUCAGGAGGAACACCAAAGGCGAAGGCAGCAUCCUGGGAAGUUCCUGACGCUCGGGUGCGAAAGCCAGGGGAGCGAACGGG